ACACUCGAUGGCCGCAGCCCGCCCGUAAGGGCCCAUGCCCGGGGACGCCCCUUUUUGCCAGAGGCCCCCUGGGCUGGCAUCUGCUCCGCGGUGGCGCCACCUCGCCCUGCUCCGGCCCUGCGAGCGCGUGUCCACUUCGGCGCGCCAGCCGUGCGCCCUAGAGGUCCGCCGUGCGCCGGCGCCCCAGGCGCCCACCCGCACGCGCGCGGUCCGUCGGUGCCUUGGGGACCCCUCCCCCCUGCGGCGACAGCCUCAGCGGCUCCUGCCCGCCUAGAGCCGCCCCUGGCCGCGGUCGCGGGUCCCCCACACCCCAGGGGCGGAGCGAGACGCCGAGACGUCAGGGCAGAGAACGAGCACGGGGCGAGCGCGCCCUCCCGGCAGCUGCCCGCGGCCCACGUCCCCGACUGGCGCGGCCGGCGGCGGCGGGGAGAUGCAGUUAGCGGCGGCGCUGGGGCGCAGCCAGGCGGCGGGGCGGGCGGGGGCCAGAGGCUGAGCCGGGCGAGCCAGCCGGGGCGAGCCAGCGGUGCGCACAGCUCUGCCCGCCACCCCCGGAGCGGACCCCGGCCGCCUCUGGGCUCUCCCCGGGGUUCUAGCCAAGCCCCCCGGGGUGCCCAUCAAUUUCGUCGGGUGACUUCAGCGUGUGUUUUGUUUUUCUUUCUUCUUUCCCUUGCCUGUGUGCCCUUCUCUAGGAUGGCAGAAGCGGAAUUGCACAAGGAAAGGCUGCAAGCCAUAGCAGAAAAAAGAAAGAGACAGACGGAAAUAGAAGGCAAGCGACAGGAGCUCGAUGAGCAGAUACUUCUGCUGCAGCAUUCCAAGUCCAAAGUGCUUCGGGAAAAAUGGCUGCUGCAGGGUAUACCCGCCGGAACUGCCGAGGAGGAGGAAGCCAGGAGGAGGCAGUCUGAGGAGGAUGAGUUCCGAGUCAAACAGCUUGAAGACAACAUUCAGAGGCUCGAGCAGGAAAUCCAAGCGCUAGAGAGUGAAGAGUCCCAGAUAUCUGCCAAAGAGCAAAUCAUCCUAGAGAGACUAAAGGAGACGGAAAAAUCCUUCAAGGACUUGCAGAAGAGCUUCUCCAGUACGGAUGGAGAUGCAGUAAAUUACAUUUCCUCCCAGCUCCCCGACCUGCCACUCCUCUGUUCACCAACAGCAGAACCAUCACCUGGGCAGGACGGGACCAGCAGAGCAGCUGCUGUGUACGCCAUGGAAAUUAAUGUGGAGACAGACAAACAAACAGGAGAGACCAAGAUUCUCUCUACAUCCACCAUUGGCCCAGAGGGGGUCCAUCAGAGAGGAGUCAAAGUCUAUGAUGAUGGUACCAAAGUAGUCUAUGAGGUGCACUCUGGAGGCACCAUAGUAGAAAACGGAGUGCACAAAUUAAGCUCAAAGGAUGUAGAAGAGCUUAUUCAGAAGGCUGGACAAUCAAGCUUAAGAGGAGGGCACGUGUCAGAAAGGACUGUGGUUGCAGAUGGGAGCGUCAGCCACCCUAAGGAACACAUGCUCUGCAAAGAAGCCAAGUUAGAAAUGGUACAUAAGUCUAGGAAAGAUCAUACUUCUGGGAACCCAGGGCAGCAGACCCAAGCCCCCAGCACUGAAGGGCCAGAGGCACACUUGGAUCAGCCAGUCACCAUGAUUUUCAUGGGCUACCAAAAUAUCGAGGAUGAAGAGGAGACUAAAAAGGUGCUAGGCUAUGAUGAAACCAUCAAGGCUGAAUUGGUCCUCAUUGAUGAAGAUGAUGAGAAGUCAUUGAGGGAGAAGACAGUGACAGAUGUGUCCACUAUUGAUGGGAAUGCAGCUGAGCUUGUGUCCGGGAGGCCCGUCUCAGACACCACAGAGCCCUCAUCCCCAGAAGGGAAGGAAGAGAGCCUGGCCACAGAGCCAGCCCCAGGUACCCAAAAGAAAAAGCGCUGUCAAUGCUGUGUUGUCAUGUGACCACUUCUUUCUUCCCUUUUCUUCUGGGCAGCCUCUGUGCUCUCCACCACUUACGUAGACCUCACUGUACCACUAACUGCAAUACUGUGAACUGGAAGCAAACACCUGCCUUGCCUUGCAGUUGGAUUGCUUUGAUCUCUCUUAUUUUUUCCCUUUCAUUUUCCUCCAGUUUCCUCACCUGAGAGACAACGUGCAUGUGUGUGCUUCAUUCUUUCCAAGAACUUGCUUUUCCUCUAAACCUUUCCUUGUGUCUUCAAGAGUGAAUCAAUUCCUUACUGCUCGAUUGGAAUGGACUCUUCAUAUCAGCCAGUUAUAUAGUAGCCUUAAUUCACUUGACUGGAAUUGAGCCCAUUGGUACCGGGGGCUUCAUUUUGUAGCGUGUUCCUAUCACGUAGUCACACAUCAUCGCCACGUCGCUGAUUUCUCCCUUGCCUCCCUUGCUGUGGAUCUUUGCUUUUAUAUCUUGUGUGGCAAAAUGCUGUUGGCUCUAGCCGGUUGCUAGUGUAGCCAAAAGUGGACCUUACUUAGUCUGUCCAAUCUAGGAUGAUGCUUUUUGCUGCCUUACGUAAGCUUCCAGAUUACAGUAUUGUGCAUCUUUGGCUUUCCUUCUGUUAAAACUGAAAUGAAGUUGAUGUAAAAGAAAAAGACGCAGCGCUUGUCACAGCUGAAACGUAGGGACUGAUUCCGUAACCUGCUCAUCAGGAGCUGUCUCAUUCUAUGGCUUAACUGAUGGACCCUUUCUAUAAGAAGCACCAUUUUUAAUUUUCUAAGGACAUGAGACAAACAUUGUUUUAAGCAUCAGUCGUGAUCUCCAAAAUUAGGUAAAUCCAUUCUAUUCUCUCAAAAAAAUGUAAACUUUUAUAUUGGUUUUUUUUUCACGGAUAUUUUCUGAUCAUGUUAAUCUGUUUUCAACGAAGGGAUCAUUUUGAGGAAUAUCUCUGCAGUGACCAUAUUUCUAAAAGAGUCUUUGUGACCUACCCUGGUUCCUGCGGCGAUGUUCCCACUUCAUUGUGGAUGGUGCUGUAACUGAACUUAACAGUUCAUCUCCCCUGACCAGUUGAUUACAGAGCCUUACAUCUGGACUCUUUUCUUUCUGUCCCUGUGAGAAAGAGAAUGUUUCCCGUAAUGUCACCGUGUAGGUUUAUUCACCCCUCAAAAGAAACUUCAGAAUGGAAAAAAAAUUUUAAAGAUUAAGAAAGACCUGUAUUCUCAACGUUAAGUACUUCAAGCCAUUCCACAAAUGCUCAUUGGGUAACACAUAACUGAGCUUUUUAAAGCAUGGUUUCUUAAACUUCUGGAGAUUUCGGAACAUCAAAAGAUAGUUUUUAUCUAGAACAUGAUGAAGAAUUCUUUUAAAAAAUUCUUAGCGCUCCCCCAAAGCAAACAGCCACAUGUAUAGUAAAACCAAAGGGAAGCAAUUUAGUAAAAUAAUAAUAUAGUAAUGAAACAAAGAUGUAACAUUUUAACGGAUUUUAGUAACAGAGAUAUCUUAACUUUAAGUUAUUUGCCCAAAUGUUCAUAGUAUUAUUGCAAAUCAUUUAUAAAAUUAUCUUAGUUCUAUAGAACAUAGUUUUGAAAAACAUACAGUAAGACAUACUACAUCCAGUCUAACUUCUGUGGAAAGUAGAUGAGAAAAAAAAAAAAAAGGUAGUUUUGAGAGAGUUUUUUUACAGAACCAGCUAAAUUUGUCAUAAAUAGCUUUUUUAGUACUAAAUCUACCUAUGAUUAUUUUAAGUGUCUUUGCUUGAAAUUAUAUUUAUUCCAAGAGGAAAGAAAAAAACGAUAGUUUUUAAUUUUCAAAGUUACUUUUUUUCAAAAAAUUUACAUUUUUAAUGAGCACAAAGUGAGUAAUUUUAUCACCAAUAUGUAAACAAAAAAAGUUAAACAAGGGAGAAAUAAAGGAGCUAAGUUCUACUUUCUAGAUGAUUCCAUCCAUGGCUUGAUUUUGAAUAGCUGAGGGAAUAUAUCUAAGUGUCAGGUUCACCAAAGCAGCUACAAUUGAAUAACUGCUCUAUUACCUAGAAAUAAUACCUGGUUUUGCUGCCUAUAAAUCUUGCCACUCUCAGCUUCAUGCUCCUCAGUAAAUGGUCGUUUAAGAAGCAUCAUUUAAAUGUUUGAUAAAAUGACAUGCCAGAUAGACCUAUUUACAUAGAAAAAACAGAUUCAUUGUUUUGGACAAUCUAUUCCUUUAAUUAUUUAAGAAAGAAACAGUCUAAAAGUUUACCAUCACUUAUCUUUUUGGGAAUUAAAACUAUUUGAUAUGAGUUUUUGAAAGCACAGUCAGUGAGUGGAAUGAUAGAAUUUAGAGCCCGUGGGAGUGCUGUUUGAGAAACAGAAUCAAGAGUCUUAACAGGAUAGAUAAUUCCCUGAAACGACCUACCAUAAGUCAACUGGUUUCUCACAGAGACAAUGAUCUGCACCUCUCUCUACAACACUACGUGUAAGAUCCAAAAGACCAAUGAUAAUCUACACUCUCAUUCAUCAAUUAUUAUUAUAGGGAUUAGCAAAUUAUAUGAAUUUGAGUUCUCUCUAUACUUUUAAAGCUUAUCAUUUAAUGGUUUUUAACAUAAGAUGUGUUCCCUUUAUUAAAAUGAUUUGUGGCCACAGUAAAUGAAGGUGUGUAUGAAUAUGGCAUAUGUAUUUGCAUAUCUUGCAUCAUUUUCCUAUCAUAACAGGGGAUUCAGGCUCAGCCAGGACUUUUAUGGGAUGAGACCUAUAAUCCCAUCUACAGCAACAAGUAACUCUCUUUCAUAAUGAAAAUAUCCACAGAGUUGUGAUUGUGAACAUUCUGCCUUCCUUGCUGAUAUUGGCAUUUUCUCUGUAAAAACGCUAUUGUGUGUGGUAUCACGUCCUUCAAAAAUACAGGGUAUUGACUUCCAUAACCAGACUAAUUAGAGAAUCGAUAAUGAAGCUGCAAAACCGUGGUUGUUUUUGAGCUAAUGGUUAGUGGGACUUUCUUUUAAAAUCGUAUAAUCAGUUCCCUGUUAGAUGGAAAAAGGAGAAAGAGGGAAAGAAGGGAUAUUUCGUUUGUUUAUAAAUAGAUUUUCAAUGGCGUUGAAUUAAAAAUCCUUUAAUGGUUAAAAUGAUAAAGUUCAACCUUACAUAUCCUGAAAAAUCUUGAUGACUUGUGUAUCCUUGACUCUUUUUUCCUUUGAUGUACAACAGGACAAACUAAGGGGAUUUUUUUUUUUACUUUGUACCUCUUUUACCCCUAAUUAUACUAUUUUCCUUAUAUAAGCAAAAGUUAGUUUGACAACAUCCAGUGAUGUGGCUUAAUUUUGGGAAUAGAGAGGACGAGGGACUAGGGAAUUUCCUUCUGGCAACCCCAAACAUGGUUUCCGUAAGCCUCCUGAGCAGCCUAAAAUUAUUCAAAGGCCUUCAGGAAACGCAAACAAAUUCUAGAGUUCAUUUGGUUUGACUCCUUUCUGAAAUGUUAACAGACAUGUGUCUGCUUCAGACUCCCACCUCUUCCAUUCUACUUUCUGGUGAUAAAUGUGUUUUUCCUACAUGCAAGUAGACUAUUUUAUUUUUGUUUAGGGUCAAGUUUUUAUAAAAGGGGGAAAACAUCUAAACCGAGUUUUCUAGAGAUACAAUAUUAUCUCUGGAGCAAAACGUUGAGGCCAAGUCUGAAAACAGCUUAUUUCUUUUCACUUCCUGCAGAAUUUCAUUUCAAGGGGCUGCAGGACACCCUUGACAAUGAUCAUUUAUUUAAUGCCAAUGAACCAGUGGGUAGAAAAAGAGGAGGGAGGAAACGUGAUAGAGGCCAAAAUCGAACCACUAAACCAGUUCUUCCCUUUUAAAAAGCAUUAACCCUGUCGAUUUAAGGGUCUUACUCAAACUCUAGAAGCUCUGCCAUCUCUGUUUGUCACUGGACCCACUGCGAAGUCUAACUCCCCAAAGGGCCCAUUCCUUAUGGGAAUAUUCUCAUCUCCUGCGACCCUACUUUGUUUACAACAAAAACCAUUCCAAGGCGAGCAGUUGCAUGUUGUAUUUUUGCAACGUGCACAUUUGGUAUUGAAACCACCGAUUCUCAGCAGAGUAAGAUGUAAGUUUCAGAAACUUUGUAAAUAUGCAAUCUUUCAGAGGCUCCUCAAUUUGCUAAUCAAGGUAUAUAGAACUCCACUGAUUAGGAUAGAACCAGAAACUAUCCUUUAUCGUCUUGGGUGGUACAACCCAGCAGGGCCACAGAAUUAUGGUAUAUAUCACAAAAUAGCUCGAAGGCAUGAGCAAGAUGGAAUCUUUGAGUCCAGUUGCCAGUUCACCUUCAUUGUGUAGUCUUCUGGUCUCUUCAGGAAAACUUUCCUGCAUUUUUUAGGGAAAAAGAAAAGUCGAUCUUUUAUGAGGAGCACAGUGCCGUUAUGUGUCUGUAUUUUCAUAGCUUCAGCAAAGUCCAUAAUAAAAUUCCCAUUUUAACAAAAACCAAAAUACUUAUUAUUUGAAUGUAGAAAAAGACAGGAUAAAGAUUACAUCCUCAAAGCGUCCAAGGGCAACUUCACUGGGGAUCUCUAGACUAGCCUCCCUCCCACCCCCUUGAGUUUUAUACGACUUAAAUCGGCCUCUGCUUCCCCUCUCCACUCCAGUUGAACAUAAGGUCAGAACCGUAGCACAAAAAACUUGCUUUCAACGUGAAAAUAUAACAUGUAAUUUUGGGGACUGCAGACUUUCUGCAUCAAAGAUCUGGACAGCCUUAACUUUUGUAAAAAACAAUUUUUCAAUGCUCUCUUUUACUAAGCAGGAAAACAAAAUGCUUCCUGACAUUAAUGACUUUUUUAUAUUUUGUGACUUUUCUAAGUUUCUACAGGUUGAGGUACGAAUGGUCAUCUCCCCACAUUGCUCUUACUAGUCACCUGGGGCUAUUUUUUUGCAAGUCACUGCAUUUUUACCAAAAGAAAAGUCUAUUUCCUGAACCAGAAAAUUCUCCCUAGAUUUCAGGCAGUCCUUCUGGAGUGAAAGAACAGAAACACAGAAAGAAAAGAAUUACAGGGUGGCUUUCUUUUUAUUUUCCUAUGGUUAAUGUACUGUAUCGUAUAUAUGUUUACAGAAUGUACCUGCCUUGUGAUGUUCACAAAAUGAAUGACAAAAAAAAGAGUUCUGAUGUGCCAUUUGAAAGUUUGCCUUAGCAUCGCUGUUUAUGUUCUUCUUUUCUGUCCUUUUCAAAAGCGCAGGUUGUAUUCCAAAGCUGUAUGAACACAACAUUCUCUUCCCCACCCCUACCCAGCCCUCUUUGGAGCUGUGAAUUUCAUCACAGGAGCCUUGAGGCAGAUCUGGCUCAGGCGGAACAAAAUGAGAAUAGCUUGGGCAUUGCCUGUGCCCGUCUACCAACCACACAUGCUCUUGUGUUCUCAUUUGAGCCUGCAGUCAUCACACUCCGACAUUCCUGGGCAGGCCACCUGGAGCACAUGACCUGCUACAGUCCUUCCCGCCGUGAGGGAGGACAACUUGUGGACCUCCUUUCUGGGCCUGGGAGCAUAUUUUAAAGCACAAUUGGCACAGCUUGAAAAAGCAGGAGAGUGGGACUCACCUGGUGUGAUUCAGCCAUAUCUGAGGGGGUGCCCGUUCAUUGUAGUCUAAGACGAGUAGCAUGAUAUGGGUGGGAGUCAGGAGUGGCUGUAGAAAUAGAAUAUUGUACAUUUAUGUAUUUUUUUAAGGAAAAAUAUUUUUAUAAUGAAAUCUGUAUGCAUUAGGAAGCUUGAGUUUGAAAACACCACUGAUUGAGUUAUUUCUCCAUUUCAUUAAGGUAACUUUCUGGUGAGUUCUAGAGCUCUAGCCCAGACCUUGGGGGGCAUGGGGGUCUGUGACCUGCCCUUGCACCGCCACUGCAUGGAAUCUGGUGUUUCCAAACAGACCUAGGUUGUAAGAUCAAGCUUUCUAUACCUGGCAUAAGAAACUGUGUUAAGUGGCUUGGGAGCUCUCUGGGCUACACCUUUAACAAUAUACAACGAUCUUUUGGAAGGAGAUAGCUAUUUUAAAUAUAAGCCAAGCCCAGCAAUGAUCAAAGUCUCACUCCUUCACAUGUUUAAGGAGUAACUGCUACAUUUGAGGUUAAGAGACCACUCGCUCUGGUGCAUUUGAGUAAUAUAUGUGAAAUGCUGAGUCAGAAGCAUCUGGCCAUCCACAACCUAGACAUAAAUGUAUAAACCAACAAUAUAAAACUUACCAGGUAUUGUUGGCCUUGUAAAUAUCAACAAGGCUGUAUCUUAUUUUCAGAGUUAAGUCAAGACAGGAAAGAAUUGUCCUUAGCCAUCCAUACAGGAGAUUCUGAAUGUUUAGAGUUUUGAAUUGGAUUUUUUUUCCCCCAAAUUUCUGCCCACCUCCUGAGUUCCCAUCGCAUACACACGCAGUUUCAUGAAGGUCUUCACCCACGCCUGUUCCUCUGGCUGACAGAGUGAGUUAAGCCUCAGAAUCUACUCCCUACUCCUGGUAGACUCUCUUCCCAGGCAGCAUCCUUUCCUGAGCUGGGCCCCCUUUUCUACUACCCUCAAAGACCGAGAUCCUUUUUACAACAGGGCAAGGUCAUAAACACUCCCUCCAUUUCAAGAAAAAGAACCCCUCUGGUACCCAUGCAAAUCAUUAGAAUUCCUUCAUCAUCAGAACCCCUCCAAUAUGCCCAACUCAAGCCCAGCUGUGAACAUUAGUGUCAUGGAGACAAAUCCAAAAAUGAAAGAACUAUGCAACCUCCUGAAGGUGCUAAGGGAGAGCCAGUGUACUCUGGUCUCUUAUUACUCUGGGCACCUCUCAGUUUCCACAUGAGGUGGGCAGGGAUUCAUCCAGUCUCUAGGUUUUGCAACAACAAGCCUUUAAGUACAAAGUGGCCACCAGGCGAUGCCUGAUCUGAACUCUUCUGCGUGCAGCUCCAACUCCAAUUCCGUGAUAUCCUAUUCUGGCAAGUGGGAAGAAUUCUAUCCUUUGUGGGGUUCUGGAACAUUCUUUCCUCCUCUCAAGCUCCUGACUUAGUAGAGUUGAAAUCACACAGGGGUUCCAGAAAAUGUUGUGUCUGAUGCAGCUUUUCAGUGAAUGUAGGUUGUUGAUGGAAUUUUCAGCUUUAGCAGCUCACUGGGAUGAAAAACAAAACAAAAACCGACUUCAGAAAUAACACUGCCAGCGACAGCUGAUGCUGUACCUGUAGCUUCUCUCUGGUCCUCUGUACAGUAUUAAUAGACAAUAAACUGCCUUUUCACUGCAUCUAC